rnacentral:rRNA from 1 species
AUUGAACGCUGGCGGCAUGCCUAACACAUGCAAGUCGAACGAGUGGCGGACGGGUGAGAAAUGGCUGGGAAACUGCCCGAUGGAGGGGGAUAAUUACUGGAAACGGUAGCUAAUACCGCAUACCAUCGGAUGUGCCCAGAUGGGAUUAGCUAGUAGGUGGGGGAAAGGCUCACCGGGGCGACGAUCCCUAGCUGGUCUGAGAGGAUGACCACCCACCCGGGAACGUGGACGGGGACCAGACUCCUACGGGAGGCAGCAGUGGGGAAUAGGGGACAAUGGGCGGAAGCCUGAUGCAGCCAUGCCGCGUGUAUGACGAAGGCCUUCGGGUUGUAAAGUCCUUUCAGCGGGGAGACGUUACCCGCAGAAGAAGCACCGGCUAACUCCGUGCCAGCAGCCGCGGUAAUUC